rnacentral:rRNA from 1 species
CCUUGCCAGCCCGCUCAGAAACUCAAAUGAAUUGACGGGGGCCCGCACAAGCGGUGGAGUAUGUGGUUUAAUUCGAUGCAACGCGAAGAACCUUACCUGGUCUUGACAUCCCGGAGACCCUUAGGAAACUAGGGGGUGCUUCCAUCUGGAAGAAUCUGGAGACAGGUGCUGCAUGGCUGUCGUCAGCUCGUGUCGUGAGAUGUUGGGUUAAGUCCCGCAACGAGCGCAACCCUUGCCUUUAGUUGCCAGCAGUUCGGCUGGGCACUCUAAAGGGACUGCCGGUGUUAAACCGGAGGAAGGUGGGGAUGACGUCAAGUCCUCAUGGCCUUUAUGACCAGGGCUACACACGUACUACAAUGGCCGAUACAAAGGGCAGCGACACUGCGAAGUGAAGCCAAUCCCGUAAAAUCGGUCUCAGUCCGGAUUGGAGUCUGCAACUCGACUCCAUGAAGUUGGAAUCGCUAGUAAUCGUGGAUCAGCAUGCCACGGUGAAUACGUUCCCGGGCCUU